UGGAAAAUCACCAGCUGAAAAGCCAGGUGUGUCUGGCCUCUGGACGGAGUUUCAACAGAGAGGAAUGCAAUGGCGCCCCCAAGUGUUCUUAAGUGGUGUCUGAACACACACACACACACACACACACACACACACACACACACACACACACACACACACACACACACACACACACACACACACACACAACGCAUCAGUUUUCCGCCUUGCAUGCUUGGCUGGUCAGAUUGACUAAAGAGGGAUUACAGGUGUGUGGAGUGAGUUCAAGGCUCAAUAGCGUGCACCGGCAAAGAGACUGAUACAGCCUCAUUCCUGAAUCAACUGAUCAACACGGACUGAUACGUUAACCCAAUACCCUCAUUUAAUCCUAUCAGGCAUCAUGGCAUCAGUAACCUCCCCCAGUGUGAUCAUAAUAGUCAGUGACUGACGACCAGACAGAUGUAAGAGUAACAGAGAUGACAGAAGUAACAGGACCGGUUGAAAACAGGAGACCAGCAAGAAGUCUAAAUAAUAAAAAACAAAAAACAUAACAAUGUUUGCUUACCUCCAGAGCAAGCCAGAGCUGGUCUCCAUUUUUGACAUCCUUCUUGUAGAACAUCCCAAAGAACUUCACUACGUUGGCGUGAUCAGAAAGAGCCUUGAGGAUGUUGUACUCGGCUUCAAUCUCCUCAUCGAUGUCCUGCGAACAGCAAGCCAACAGGUAGAAUGCAGUAAGACUCUUGACUCAGCUUGUUGAGUGCAGGCAAAAAUGAUUCUGAGCUCUUCUCAGGCAGAGCUUAUGAGUAUAGAGGCCUCAGAAGAGCAUAGAUGCAUCAGUAGAGCAUAGAUGCAUCAGUAGAGUAUAGAUGCAUCAGAUGCAGAGCAGACCUCCCAACUUCCAAGACCUACCACGACCCAAAACUUAUAGCCUACAUAAAGGUCUCACCGAGACCUACCACGACCCAAAACUUACAGCCUACAUAAAGGUCUCAGCAAGACCUACCACGACGCAAAUUUUAGAGACUAGAUAAAAGGUCUCAGCAAGGCAUGUUGUACCAGUCAAAAUUGUGCUUUGGGUCAGCAACUAACUUUACGCUAAUGACUAAGUUUUGAGUGUAAUAAAAUCAGUAUAGGAUAGUAGAUGAUUUCCCCACUAGGUCUUUUUUACAGUACAGUGCAUUCAGAAUGUAUUCAUACCCCUUUUUUCACAUUUUCUUAUGUUGCAACCUUAUGCUAAAACUGUUUAAAUUCAUUUUUCCCCUCAUCAAUCUCCACUCAAUAACUCAUGAUGAUAAAGUGAAAACAGGAUUUUAGAAUUUUUUUGCAGAUGUACUAAAAAGGUCAAAUUGAAAUAUCACCUUGACAGUAGGUAUUCAGACCCUUUGCUAUG
ensembl:lncRNA